AUGGCUUGCUUGGGGAACCAGCCAGCUCCCAAGUCCUUCCCCUUUGCUUCUUCUACCCCUGUAUUUCGCUCAGCUCUCUAAAUUGACUCAGGUCCAGGGGCUGAUCUGAAUGCACUACAACAGAGGAUUCACUAUCUCAUGGCUUCCUGUUAGUUUCAACCUAAGAGAUCCAAGAGUGGUCCUGAGACAAUGAGUGGCUGGUGCAAGAGUAUGAAAGCCCAACUCCCUCGCUCCAUCUUAGGACAAUUUCUGAGCUCCUGAUUUUCUGUGUUCCUGAUUUUCCCUGUGGGGUCAACUGAUAUUAUUCUGCACAGAGGAUUCAGUACAAAAAAACGUGUGGCUACCUUCUUCAAAAAGCAGGAACAAAGUGCUAUUAGAGAAAUAUAUUAUGACACAAAUCUUCAUACAGAUUAGAGACACAUGAAAUACCUGAAAAUUCUACUUCCACCUAAGGAAAAGAGGAGAACAAGGUUCUUAAUUCAGCACA